rnacentral:misc_RNA from 1 species
GUGUGAGGUUUUCGGCGAAAACCAGCGUUUAAAACUUUGGAUAUAUUUGUAAACGUGCAUAUAAAAUAUGAAAAUAGUGAAAAUACUUGAGUAAAGCAAGUAAAAUAUCAGAUAUAUAUAUCUAGAAUUAACCUGCAACAUAUAGUUGCAGCAAAUAAUUGCCGCUUGCCACGCAAUUGUGCUUUGCAAUUGUAAUUGCAUUGGUAUUGGUGAGCUGUGUGAGGCCGCCGUGUACGUGCGGCACUUCGGCAGUUGUAAAAUAUUUCAUUUUAUGUAAACCGGACAUAAGUUUUUGGCAAAUCGUCUGAAAAAUAUAAGUUUUAACAAUUAUAUAAUGAGUGCAACGCCACCAGAACUGCUGCAACUGCAGCAGCCCAUCGGAGGGGGUAAGGAAAAAGAAGCCAACGGUGGUAAUGACAAUGACUACCGAAGUCGCGAUAAGGAACGUUCGCGUUCCAGAGAUCGUGGCAGGGAUAAGGAAAAGGAUAGAGAGCGCGAGAAAAAACGAAGAGAUCGAGAACGUGGCAGCAAGGAUCGCGAUAGCCGUCGACGUGAGAGCCGUGAACGGGACAGGGACCGUGAACGUGGUCGUGAUCGUGAUUCCCAAUCGCACCGCAGCCGCUCGAACAACCAUGAUGACUACGACAGACGUAAGAAACGCUCGCGGAGCAAGGAUCGCGAUCGCAGACGCGAACGGGAUCGCGAAUCACGCUCAAGACGCAGCGGGUCACGUGGUGGAGGAAACCGCGAUGAUUACGAUCGCAAUCGCAGACGACGCUCCAAUAGUCGCAGCUAUGACCGGCGUCGUAAUGAGCGGAGCAAUGAAUCGCAACGUAAUAGCCGAGAGCGGAGCAGUCGGGAGCGCAGCAGUCGUGAGCGCACAUAUGUGAAUCCAUUUGACACUUCGAACAGUCGCAACUUAUUGCAUGACCAGGAGUCUCGAAUACCGUCUCUGUUCGAGCGCCACCACCAACAGCCGCAGCUGGAGUCUAUUAGAGAGGAACCCAGUUCGCGCUUCGAUCUUUCACAGACUAUUCAGGAUCUUAUGAGCAAUGUGGGUAACAACAAAAGCUUUGCAUCACUAUUUAGCAACCAGAAUAGCAAUGAUUCCAUGAGCAAUGGAAUCUCGGAGAACUCAAUGGACAGUGCAGCGGAACGCAAGCGCAAGCGAAAGUCUCGAUGGGGCGGAACUGAAAAGGACAAGACAUUUAUACCGGGCAUGCCCACAAUUUUGCCCUCAACGUUGGAUCCGGCACAGCAAGAAGCCUACUUAGGUCGCCUUCCCCGGAGCCCAUUUACAGUUCUGAUGGCAAGCGUUUGAACACGCGCGAGUUUCGCUAUCGCAAGCGUUUAGAAGAGCAGCGCCAUCAGCUUAUAGUCAAGAUGCAGGCUGUUAAUCCAGAGUUUAAGCCGCCAGCUGAUUACAAGCCACCUGUUACACGUGUCAGCGACAAGGUUCUAAUUCCGCAAGAGCAGCAUCCGGACAUAAACUUUGUGGGCCUGCUGAUUGGACCUCGCGGCAACACACUAAAAGCCAUGGAAAAGGACACCGGCGCUAAGAUCAUUAUACGCGGUAAAGGCUCUGUCAAAGAGGGCAAAGUGGGUCGCAAGGAUGGCCAACCUUUGCCGGGCGAAGAUGAACCGCUGCAUGCGUUUAUUACAGCGCCCAAUCCGGAGGCUGUACGCAAGGCCGUUGACAAGAUUAAGGACGUUAUACGGCAAGGCAUCGAGGUGCCCGAGGGCCACAAUGAUCUGCGCCGCAUGCAGCUGCGAGAACUAGCCCAGCUGAACGGCACGUUGCGAGAGAACGAUAUACAGCGCUGCACUUGUGGCUCUACAGAUCACAAGUCUUGGCAGUGCCCCGACAAGCCGAUCAUAACCAACACCAUUGUCUGCACAUCAUGCGGCGGCACUGGUCACUUGACUAAAGAUUGUCGUAAUAAGCGUCCAGGCUCCGGUGCGCCGGGCAUGGCCUGUGAGGAUACCCAGGCCAAGAUCGAUGAGGAGUACAUGAGCCUAAUGGCGGA